UUAUUAUAUAGAGUAACUGUUAAGGAAUUUUUCCAAGACCUAUUUGGGCAUGGAUAAUUUAGAAGAUAAGGUUGUGCACUGGUUCCCUUGUAAAGUUUAUAUUCUUGUAAAUUGAUUAGUGCAUGUGCACCAAUCAGAGUAAUGUACUAACACUAGCUCACCUUACUGUACACUUUAUAUUAACACUCACUUCCCAUAUUACGUAGUUACUCCGGUGGUAGAGAUGAACUAACAACGUGAGUUUGAUGUGGCCCUUGUGGCUAAGGGGAUCAGAGGGUAUGGAGAGAAGGCAGGUACGGGAUACUGAGUUGGAUGAUCAGCCAUGAUCAUAUUGAAUGGCGGUGCAGGCUCGAAGGGCCGAAUGGCCUACUCCUGCACCUAAUUUCUAUGUUUCUAUGUAUUGU